rnacentral:rRNA from 1 species
GACGUAGGGCGCGAGCGUUGUCCGGAUUUAUUGGGCGUAAAGAGCUCGUAGGCGGCUUGUUGCGUCAGCUGUGAAAACCCGCAGCUCAACUGUGGGCUUGCAGCUGAUACGGGCAGGCUUGAGUUCGGUAGGGGAGACUGGAAUUCCUGGUGUAGCGGUGAAAUGCGCAGAUAUCAGGAGGAACACCAAUAGCGAAGGCAGCUCGCUGGGACGGUACUGACGCUGAGGCACGAAAGCGUGGGGAGCAAACAGG